rnacentral:lncRNA from 1 species
AUGGAGGCUUUGGAUGGACGGGAGAAAGGACAGCGUGGAGGGGCAGCGUGCCUGUGGCUGUCCCAAGUCCACCGGGAGUGGUGGAAUCAGAAAAUCCAGGGCCAGACCCAGAGACCUGAAGGUCUGGCUGGGCAGGGAGAGCGUACAGGGACUCGGCGCAGCACCUUGGGGAACCAAGCCGAUGCGAAUCCAUGGCUGCAGCAGGGCAGGCACCACCUCUGCUGCUCGAGCUCCGCCACGCGCCGCAGCCGUGUGCCACGUCUGUCCAGCUUGUCCCCAGCUUCUCCCGGCACAGCCCCGCGUUUGCCUGGCUGCCAAAGCCUCGGCAAGAGCCGCGCAGCUGCCCCGCCAGCUCCUGCGGCACGGGAGACAUGUUCCCCCGCAGCAUGUGCCUCGCUGCUACUGGAGGGACCCCAGCGCCGGUGUCGCUGUGCCCUGCCAGCCUCCGCGYGCCGUCCCCUGCACCGCAGCUGGGCUGCGCGCACCGCGUGGCUUCGCUGCCCCGUCUGGGAUGCGGCGGUUUGGGCGCUGGUCGCUCCCAGUGUAGCUCAGCUCGCCCAGGCCAAGUGUCCGAGGACGCCCCGUGCAGCCCGGCGAACCCAGGGACCACACGGGAGGCAGCUGAACAGGGAACAUCUUUAUGGCCCGCGGAGUCGCCCCGCUGCAACGAGCGGCUGCGCGGGAGGUCCCCGAGGCACAGCCUGCGCCAAGGGGAAGGAGAGGCCCCGGCAGCAUCACCCCCACUUCCCRAUCCCCGAGGCCAGGCAGGGCCACCUCUCCCCAUGCAGAUCCCUCUCCCCAGCAGCGCAGCCUUGCCAGUCCUGGUCCCCCCGUGCUACUUCCACUCGUGAUGGCAGCGAUGGGGCUGGUGGGCCGAGCUGUGGCCCUCCCCAGCCAGCUCAGACGCCUGCCACGCUGCCGCCACCUGCGAUAUCCUGCCGCCGGCCUCCCAAGGUCGGGGCCUUCGCCCACAUGGCAGCGCCUGCAGUGCAGAAGGACAAACAGCGCGUUUAG